GGCGCAUUGGCUGGCGCGCCGCGGCGCUGGGGAGAGCGCGCCGCUUUGGGCACUAGGGGUGGCCAGAGGGGUCAGCUGGCCGCCCGUCGGAGCUCGGCAGCGUGGGCUCCGGCAGCCUUGCGGAGGACCUAGGAUCUCCACCGGGAUCUAUUGUUCGGCUGAUCGAUCACCUUCAGCAUCCGCCCUUAAACCCACCCCUUCCUCCGAACUCUCUGAGGCUGGGGAAGUGUUGGUUCAAAGGAUCGCCCACCAGGUGGAAGAAGUUAAUGUGUAGUGGGACAACUCCAAGUGGCAAGUGGCUGUCCAGUCAUUGCUAGAACAGAUCUGCAACAGGACAAAUCAACAAAGUUGACUCGCCAUCCCCACCAUGCCCCUUUCUCCAUCAACAUUUUACUGGAAAGUUGGACUUCUUCCCUGAACCUUCCCCCCGGUGCUAGUGGGGAUACUAUGAGAACACUCUCCGACGUUGUGGGGAGCCCUUCACGCAUCCUAGAGCAAUCCUGUGAAAGAAGCAUUAGCUUUUCAAGGGAAGCAUUUUCAAGAAUUUCAAGGAAAUCCAGGCCCAAUGUCACCCAGCUGGCAGAGUGGAGCAGCUUCAAAUACAGUUUUGUCUCAAACCUAGAGAGAAGAGCCAUCCCUUCACUAAAUGAACGUCACAUAGAACAAAGGAUUGCUGAGUGCUUGCUUUGCCCUGGUGUUGAUGACCAAGGUAAAUGAAGACAUGGUCUCUGAGCAUUAGAGCAUUCUGUCAUUGGUUAUUUAUGAAAAGGCUUCUGCCAGGCACAAGGUUGAAAAGUACGGGCUAGAUCUCGCGGUCUGUGGGUUCGAGACCCAAGUUGGGCUCUGUGCUGACAGGGCGGAGCCUGGAGCCUGUUUCGGAUUCUGUUGACUCCCUGUCUCUCUGCCCCUCCCCCGCUUGUGCUCACUCGCGAGCGCGCGCGCGCGCUCUCUCUCUCUCUCUCAAAAAUAAGUAAACAUUAAAAAUUUAAAUAAAAUAAAAUAAAUGGUAGGAUUGGUUGAUUAGCUGAAUUCACAGUUUCCUCGUAAAUGAGAAGCGCAAGGCCUCCAGACUCCUACUAAUCAAGUAGUGGGACUACUGCUACAAGUCCUACUAAUCAGCUGUACUGAGUCGAGUUUUUGUCACCUUCCCAGGCCCUCAGCUAGUAGAAAACAGCCGUCGUAGCCUAGCACGACACACUGCAGCAAAGCAUGGCCCCACCAGGGCUCAGUUGGUGUAACAGCCUCUCACCAUUUUAAGCAACUAUUAGAUCACUCAUUCAGUAUUCAGCACAUUCCUUUGUGUAUAUAUUAUGUCCCAGGUUAUUGUAGCCAAAUGAUUACUGGAAUUAAAUGGUGAGAAAGUUUUCAUUUAUCGAGCUAUUCAAAACAAUGCUGCUCUAUGAAUUUUGUUGAUUUCUGGAACUGAAGUUGACAUGAAAACACCAACCGUAAGCAUUAUCUUUCUUAACCCCAUGUUUCAUGGAAUGGGGAGCUGAGAGCAGAGAAAUUAAGGGAUUUGCCCAGGAUAACCCAGCCAGUUACUGACAAGGGAUAGACCCAGCUCUCUUCAUAGCCAUACUAAAACAGAGGAGGAGAAGCAAGGUGGUAUGAGAUAAUGGUUGCAAACUUGUAGUUUAGCAGGGGAGUUUUUUUUCAAUCUUCAAAGAACUCUGACUUCUAGAAGAGAUCCAAGUGAAUCUGCUCUAAGUGGAAAAGAAGUGACCUUCUCAGCAUCUCCCUCCUUCCCGAAGUGGCUGUAUUUUUAGCAAAAUGAAAUUGACAUUAAACAGUUGCAGAAGCUCUGAGGGUUUGCAAAACCCAGGUUGGAAACUA